AUACGGAGGGCGCGAGCGUUAUUCGGAAUCAUUGGGCGUAAAGCGCGCGUAGGCGGAUUGUUAAGUCGGGGGUGAAAUCCCGGGGCUCAACCCCGGAACUGCCUCCGAUACUGGCAAUCUUGAGUUCGAGAGAGGUGAGUGGAAUUCCGAGUGUAGAGGUGAAAUUCGUAGAUAUUCGGAGGAACACCAGUGGCGAAGGCGGCUCACUGGCUCGAUACUGACGCUGAGGUGCGAAAGCGUGGGGAGCAAACAGGAUUAGAAACCCCAGUAGUCC
rnacentral:rRNA from 1 species